CAGCAACUGUACCUCUAGAUCAAAAUAACUGUGUUAGUUCAACAGCAUAUGCAGAUGCCAAUGAAACCCCACAAUCUCAAUAGCAGAAAGCGAAAAUUCGCUAAGUAGUUUUGAUAAUCUAAUAGUAAACGGUGUGCCUAAUAGUUUAAAUGUGGACAGCUUAACGAAUAAGACAAUAUCCAUAGGUUCUUUAUCAUCGCCAAACAAAUCCCUGAUGCUAGCGGAUCUGUUAGAGAAAACUAUAGAGAAAAACGACCCACCAGUAUUAAAUGGGGCCCUGAGGAUAAGCGAUAAAGGCCUGGAGCUCGUCGAUAAAGAGGACAGCUCAAAUAAAUCGAUCAACGAACAUCGGAGCGUGAUAAAGAAAACCAUUUCAACCGAACACGAGACGGUGAUUGUGAAUAGUAACAAUAACUCAAGUAGUAAUAAUAGUGAUAAGUCUAGUUGUGUGUAAUAGUCGGAACGAAGAGGCCGUCUAGUGAAGAAAUAUCGCAGGAUGAACCUAAAAGGCCGCAUAUCAACGGAACAAGUCGCCAUCUCCGGAGCCUACCGAAGAAGAGUAAGUUGUUUGUACUCUGAACUCCAAGAAAAUCAAGUUAAAUUACAUGAAGCCUCCAAAAUCUGAAAAUGCCGAGAAUGGCAGCCAUUAAAGAAUUAAAGACGAGUAUAAGAGUACACAUGUCCAGAACAUCAUUUAAACAUGAAUAAUCCAGAUGUC
rnacentral:lncRNA from 1 species